rnacentral:rRNA from 1 species
GUCCACGCUGUAAACGAUGUGUGCUGGGUGUCGGGGUAUACACUCCCUCGGUAUCGAAGUUAACGCGAUAAGCACACCGCCUGGGGAGUACGGCCGCAAGGUUGAAACUCAAAGGAAUUGACGGGGCCCGCACAAGCGGUGGAGUAUGUGGUUUAAUUCGACGCAACGCGAAGAACCUUACCCAGCCUUGACUUCUCUGGAACCUGUUGGAAACAACGGGGUGCCCUCGCAAGAGGGAAUCAGAAGACAGGUGCUGCAUGGCUGUCGU